CACNCCGUAAACGAUGAGUGCUAGGUGUUAGGCCCUUUCCGGGGCUUAGUGCCGCAGCUAACGCAUUAAGCACUCCGCCUGGGGAGUACGACCGCAAGGUUGAAACUCAAAGGAAUUGACGGGGGCCCGCACAAGCGGUGGAGCAUGUGGUUUAAUUCGAAGCAACGCGAAGAACCUUACCAGGUCUUGACAUCCCGAUGCCCGCUCUAGAGAUAGAGUUUUACUUCGGUACAUCGGUGACAGGUGGUGCAUGGUUGUCGUCAGCUCGUGUCGUGAGAUGUUGGGUUAAGNCCCGCAACGAGCGCAACCCUUAUUGUUAGUUGCCAUCAUUCAGUUGGGCACUCUAGCGAGACUGCCGGUAAUAAACCGGAGGAAGGUGGGGAUGACGUCAAAUCAUCAUGCCCCUUAUGACCUGGGCUACACACGUGCUACAAUGGCUGGUACAACGAGUCGCAAGUCGGUGACGGCAAGCUAAUCUCUUAAAGCCAGUCUCAGUUCGGAUUGUAGGCUGCAACUCGCCUACAUGAAGUCGGAAUCGCUAGUAAUCGCGGAUCAGCACGCCGCGGUGAAUACGUUCCCGGGCCUUGUNC
rnacentral:rRNA from 1 species